GGAUAUUGUUUCUAGGGUUCCGAUUCCUGGUGAUGUGGGGAAUGGCUGGUCCGAGAGAAACAGGCUAGGCUUUGUAAAGAUUUUUGCCACUAGCUACACGGCGGGACAAAAGCCCGGGAGAC
rnacentral:sRNA from 2 species